AUAGCUUCUUGGCCUUUUGGCUAAGAUCGAGUGUCAGUUUUUUAUCUGACAUAUUAAAAGGUUAUUUUUCAUUCGUUUUAUAAAUCUUAGGACACUUUAUAGGCAGCAAGCCUGCUGCUGAAUUAUAAAUACCGCC
rnacentral:snRNA from 1 species